rnacentral:misc_RNA from 1 species
CCGAGUUGUACCGACUCCCAAACCCCUGUGAACAUACCGCACGUUGCUUCGGCGGAACGCCCCGGCGCCCGAACCCCCCCGGGGGAGACGGCCCGGACCCAGGCGCCCGCCGGGGGACCCAAACUCCUGCAUUCGCCGCCGGCGGAAUCUCCCUCUGAGUGACAAAACAAAUGAAUCA